AUGGGGCGAACCACUUUUAACCCUAUCGGGAGUAAGAUAUGGAAGUUAUCUUGCCCGGCGAAAGUGAAAUUUUUUAUAUAGCAUACGCUACAUGGAACUCUCCCAUGUCGGGUUGCACUUGCCAAUAGACAUAUGAAGGUCUCGCCAAUUUGUCCCACUUGCUAUGAGGGCUUAUAAGAUACAAAGCAUAUGAUUUUCUGUUGUAGGAAAGCAAAGGAGGUUUGGAAAAGGCUGGGGAUAAAUGAUAUUAUCAAUAAAUCUUGUGAUAUCGACCGUGCUGGAGAGGCAGUGUUGUAGUACUUACUACUUCUUCCGGACCAAGAUUUGUGGAUAAUGGGUUACCACAAUGUGCGUGAGAUGAUUGUUGUCUCAGCAUGGUAUUUAUGGUGGGAAAGACGAAAAUUGGUGCACAAGGAAAAAACUCAAAAUGCCCUUCAGAUUUCAAUGGGGGGUUUUUAG
rnacentral:rRNA from 1 species